rnacentral:sRNA from 1 species
GGUCAGCGCCGCUUGGUUUUGCAUCGCGCCGCGGACGAAAUAAGUGAUAUUUUCGACCAUUAAUAAUUGUGUUUGUUUUAUUUUUGGUUGAAUCAUUAAUUAAUUAAUAGCUGUAAAUACGAAAGAGCAGCAGAAAAAGCAACAAACAACUGUGUCGCGGCCGUGGCUCAGUCAAACGAAGAGUAAAAAGACAACAACAAAAAAUUAGAGUAAAAGCAACGGUAUAACAAAACAAGGAUCGGAGCAGCAGCGGCAGUGAAAAAAAAGAGAAGCAAAGCAGCAGGCAGUCGCACGACGCAGACGACGAUCAGCAGAGAGGAGCGGCAGCGCAACAGGAACCACCUCUCUCUCUCUCUCUCUCACACUCUUGUGCGCUCUUUCUCCCGCUCCCCAGAUACGGAUACAGAUGCCCGAAGUUUGCUUCACAGACAGUGCUUUCCACCAAAGAUCGUACUACUCCAUUGGGGAUCCAUGGGAUAAGCAGUGCAAAAACAUAUUCUAGGGAAAGUAAAUAUGAUAAUAUCCAGCGCUACGAUGGGCCUCGUGGCGCCAAAGCGCCGUUUAUUUGCAACGCAUCUCAGACGCUAAAAGCCAAAGAGAUAGAAUAAUAAUAGUAGGAGCCGCAGUCGCAGCGGUGGGCCAGUGCCAGGGCCAGCACCAGCACCAGCACUCCCCCCCUUCCGAACGCCACCCGCCCCCACCCACAAAUGAGGAGGGGUGGGCAACGACGGGCCAACAACAGGUUGAGGAGCACAUACAUAGGCAAAAGCCCACAACAAAAUCAAAAGCAAAUGCCAGAGCAAAGGCAAAGGCAAAAGCAAAAGCAACAAAAACACGACAAAUAGAAAGAAGCAGACAAAAUAAAACAGAGAAAACCACCAAAACCGCAAAAACAACAAGCAGAGAAGCCACCGAAAGAGAGCGGCAGACCAACCGACCGACCGACCGACCGACCGACCGACAGGACCGACCGGGCAGCCGUGAGAGUAAAAGAGGGAGAGAGUAAUCCAAUCAAAAACCAAACACAAACGCAGCAGAGCAGCAGCAGCCGAGCGGCAGCGAC